rnacentral:rRNA from 1 species
GGCUCAGAUUGAACGCUGGCGGCAGGCCUAACACAUGCAAGUCGAGCGGAUGACAGGAGCUUGCUUCUGAAUUCAGCGGCGGACGGGUGAGUAAUGCCUAGGAAUCUGCCUGGUAGUGGGGGACAACGUUUCGAAAGGAACGCUAAUACCGCAUACGUCCUACGGGAGAAAGCAGGGGACCUUCGGGCCUUGCGCUAUCAGAUGAGCCUAGGUCGGAUUAGCUAGUUGGUGAGGUAAUGGCUCACCAAGGCGACGAUCCGUAACUGGUCUGAGAGGAUGAUCAGUCACACUGGAACUGAGACACGGUCCAGACUCCUACGGGAGGCAGCAGUGGGGAAUAUUGGACAAUGGGCGAAAGCCUGAUCCAGCCAUGCCGCGUGUGUGAAGAAGGUCUUCGGAUUGUAAAGCACUUUAAGUUGGGAGGAAGGGYWGUAGAUUAAUACUCUGCAAUUUUGACGUUACCGACAGAAUAAGCACCGGCUAACUCUGUGCCAGCAGCCGCGGUAAUACAGAGGGUGCAAGCGUUAAUCGGAAUUACUGGGCGUAAAGCGCGCGUAGGUGGUUUGUUAAGUUGGAUGUGAAAUCCCCGGGCUCAACCUGGGAACUGCAUUCAAAACUGACAAGCUAGAGUAUGGUAGAGGGUGGUGGAAUUUCCUGUGUAGCGGUGAAAUGCGUAGAUAUAGGAAGGAACACCAGUGGCGAAGGCGACCACCUGGACUGAUACUGACACU